UUUUCUAUAGAACUAGUCUAUUUUCUGUUCAGACACAAAGUUUUCUGAUGCUGAUAUUAUGUCAGUGUGUGUUUGUGUGGGGGUCGUGUGAUGUAAUCUUUGAAAGUUUAUGACCGAACCUUUAUUGGGGAGUGACAAGAGAUCUCCGGCAUCAGUUUGGAUGGAGCAGAGCUGUUAUACUCAAGUCUAUUGCGAAAUUGUCUAAACUGGUAUUAACUAUUCCUGGUAAAUCGCGGAGAAGCGUGGAAUGAACAAAAAGUCAGACCGUGACUAGAACCAUCAGCAGCGUAACAAGGAAAUCUUGGAACAAAAGAGACGCCGAGUGGAGCGUGUUGUCCGGUUUGGAUAUCAACGGCAAAGCGAACGUUGUGUGUACUAUUGCAAAAAUAUAUACUGGAUCUCCACGGUUAGGAUACAGACCACAACACUUUGGACGUAUCUUUAAAAAAGAGAAAAAUCUGAGACUUUUUGGAUUUGUCUGGGACAUUUUAAACAUUUUGUGACAUAUUGGAUUUAAAACAUUUCGGAUACUGGAUACCUGUGUUGAUUUGUCCACAGAGCUGUUCGCUUUUAAAAAUCACAAGGGUAAGUGUCUAAAUACAUUUUUUUCAUCGCUCAUAUAAUCCGUUUUUUUACUCAUUUUGGCUUAGAGUUUUUCAUUGUUUUAAAUAUAUUGUUUUACUGAUAUUUUAAACUUGUGUUCUUGUUAUAUUUUUGGUUUAUUUUUCAUCGUUUAUAUAAUCCGUUUUUAUACUCAUUUUGGUUUAGAGUUUUUCAUUGUUUUAAAUAUAUUGCUUUACUGUUGUUUUAAACUUGUGUCCUUAAUACCUAUUGGUUUAUUUUUUUCAUCGUAAUCCGUUUUUAUACUCAUUUUGGUUUAGAGUUUUUUCAUUGAUUUAACUAUAUUGUUUUGUUUUUUUGGUUUAGUUUUAUUGUGUUUACAUUGUUUGAUUAUUUGUAUAUUUUGGGGUUUCACUGUGUUUCCGAAUAUUGUUGUAAAAUGGCCCAAAAACGUAAUUCGGACUCUGGUUGUAGUCAUGCGAAUAAAAUUAUAAGGCGCAAUGAAUCCCCGCUUGGUAUAUUUGAUUACGAAUUGGGAAUGCAAAUACUGAUAGAAACUGUCAGAGCUAUGAAUGGAAAUCAACGUAAUUCAGCCGAAUUCGCAGAAUUGAUAAGUAUGCUCGAUCCCAUUUCACAGCCCCCUCCAGAGCCGACUAUGGUCUUAGAUCCUGAUGUUUUAAAUAUGCAUCAAGUUUUUGAGGUUCCAGAAGCUGGAUUUAUCAAUAAUCAAAUUGAACCAGAGGCUCCAGUCGUUGAUCUAAACGACGGGGCAUCCGAGAAUUUACAUGUUCAACACGGUGGUGAGGGGUCGGCCGACCCCCACCACAAUUCUGAAAUGGCUGAUAUGGGUCUAACGUCCGAAGACGUUGAGAGGCUUGUGAGAGACGGGGGUGAAUUUAAUGGUUAUACCGUCGUUCCUCGUACAAGAUUUAACAGUGUGGAAAUACUUAGGAGUUUAAAUCUGAGGGCAAUAGCUUCUACAGAUAUGGCAUCGUACGUGCUAUUUUUGGAUGGUGUUCUGAAUGAAAU